rnacentral:rRNA from 1 species
UUAAGCAUAUCAGUAAGCAGAGGAAAAGAAAACAACUGUGAUUCCCUUAGUAACUGCGAGUGAAGCGGGAAAAGCCCAUCGUUUAAUCUUCCCGGACUGUGGACGGGACGAAAUGUAACGGUAUGGAUAGGUUCUCUACCAACAAGGUCUGAUCAAAGUCCUCCGGAUUGAGGUGCCAAAGAGGGUGACAGCCCCGUGUAUGAUUGGACUGAGUUGGGUAUGUGGCCGAUUCCGAGAGUCGGGUUGUUUGGGACUGCAACCUAAAGCAGGUGGUAAACUCCACCCAAGGCUAAAUAUUGACACGAAACCGAUAGCGAACAAGUACUGUGAAGGAAAGUUGAAAAGAACUCUGAAAAGAGAGUUAAAAGUACGUGAAACCGCUAACGGGGAAGCGGAAGGCAGUGUCGAGAUCGAGUGAGUGAGUCAAUUUAAGCGUUUGCAUAAAGUGGGCGUUUGAUUUGGCUAGCUUUGCUUGAUGCGUCAGGGCUAUUGGUGUGCGACGGCUCAAUCUUCAGCAUGGCUUUCACGGCGAAUAAUUUAUUAGGGUUCGUGGAUGCGGCUGGGGAUCCGCCUCGUGUGCUGAUAGGUGUUAUUGAAGCGUUGGUGAUGUAUUGUCGGUUGGUGCGGUGUGGUGGUUCGUUCUGGUCACAGUGUGGCUACGUGCGGACAAGUCAUGUGGUAGUUCAACAACCAAUGCGAGUUCCUGGCGUGAUACCUAACCUUC